rnacentral:rRNA from 1 species
AGGGUUUGAUCCUGGCUCAGAUUGAACGCUGGCGGCAUGCUUUACACAUGCAAGUCGAACGGUAACAGGCCGCAAGGUGCUGACGAGUGGCGAACGGGUGAGUAAUGUAUCGGAACGUGCCCAGUCGUGGGGGAUAACGCAGCGAAAGCUGCGCUAAUACCGCAUACGAUCUAUGGAUGAAAGCGGGGGACCGUAAGGCCUCGCGCGAUUGGAGCGGCCGAUAUCAGAUUAGGUAGUUGGUGGGGUAAAGGCUCACCAAGCCAACGAUCUGUAGCUGGUCUGAGAGGACGACCAGCCACACUGGGACUGAGACACGGCCCAGACUCCUACGGGAGGCAGCAGUGGGGAAUUUUGGACAAUGGGCGCAAGCCUGAUCCAGCAAUGCCGCGUGCAGGAAGAAGGCCUUCGGGUUGUAAACUGCUUUUGUACGGAACGAAACGGUCCUGGUUAAUACCUAGGGCUAAUGACGGUACCGUAAGAAUAAGCACCGGCUAACUACGUGCCAGCAGCCGCGGUAAUACGUAGGGUGCAAGCGUUAAUCGGAA